AAAUAAAUUUUUAUGAUUUGUAAAUUUUAUUAUAAGUUUAAUUUAUAUAUAAAUUUUAGUGUAUAAUUUAUUGUAUUUAAAUAAUUUAAUUAAAUUGAUUUUAGUAAAUAAUAUUAAAAAUUUAAGAAAUUAAUAUUUAGUAAUAUUAAAAUUAAAUAACAAAUUUUGUGCCAGCAGUUGCGGUUAAACAAAAAUUUAUAUAAAAUUUUUCAGUAAUAAUAAAUAAUUUAAUUUUUUUUUUAAAAGAUAAAAUUAUUAAGUGAAAUUUUAAUUUUAUAAAAAAAAUAUUAAAUAUUAUGAUUUUAAAAAAUUUUAUUAUUAAACUAGGAUUAGAUACCCUAUUAUAAAAAAAUUAAUAAAAAAUACUAAAAUAGUAAAUGAUAUUUUAUUGAAACUUAAAUAAUUUGGCGGUAUUUUAGUUCAUUUAGAGGAAUCUGUCUAAUAAUUGAUAGUCCACGAAUAAAUUUACUUAAUUUAAAAUUUUAUAUAUCGUUGUUAAAAAAAUAUUUUUAAAAAAAAAUAAUAUUUAAAAAUUAUAAUGAAAAUUAGUUCAGAUCAAGAUGUAAAUGAUAAUUAAGAAUAUGAUGGAUUACAAUAUUAAUAAAUAAAUGGAUAUUAAUUUGAAAAUUUAAUUAAAAGUGGAUUUAAAUGUAAUUUUAUUUAAUUUAAUAAAAUGAUUGAAUAUUAAAAUAUGUACAUAUUGCCCGUCACUUUCAUUUAAAAAUUGGAAUAAGUCGUAACAAAGUAGAGGUACUGGAAAGUGUUUCUAGAAAGAA
rnacentral:ncRNA from 1 species